rnacentral:rRNA from 1 species
UACGUAGGGAGCAAGCGUUGUCCGGAAUCAUUGGGCGUAAAGCGCGCGUAGGCGGCCCUGUAAGUCCGUUGUGAAAGUCAAAGGCUCAACCUUUGAAAGCCGGUGGAUACUGUCGGGCUCGAGUCCGGAAGAGGCGAGUGGAAUUCCUGGUGUAGCGGUGAAAUGCGCAGAUAUCAGGAGGAACACCGAUGGCGAAGGCAGCUCGCUGGGACGGUAGCUGACGCUGAGACGCGAAAGCGUGGGGAGCAAACGGG